GCCUAGGAUAGCUCAGUCGGUUGAGCGUGAGAUGCUCAAUCUCAGGUUCGUGGGUUCGAUUCCCACGUUGGGCA